AUGUGGGCUAUAAAAGUAGAGACAUAUUUAUCAUCAGUCACCGGGGAACAGUAGCUGAAAGCUGAAAACGUCAGGAUGAGGAACAUUCUCAUUAUUGCGUUGGCUGUUGUGGUAUUGGGCGUUGCACAGGCCACAUACCCACCCCGAUACGAGCCCCGCAACUACUACCCCAACCCUUACCCCAAUCCUUACCCAAACCCUUACCCAAACCCUUACCCAAACCCUUACCCCCAUCGCUACCCUCCUUACCCUUACCCUUACCCCCGUGGUCGCCUCCCUCCCGUUAAAGUUAUAGUGAAUACCGACCAACACAUGGUAAACAACAACCAAGGAGGGAACGGGGCACCAGGUUCUGGCAGACAAACUUCUUUUGGUUACAGUGAUGCCGACGUGUCUUUUGUUGGUGGCCAUGGACCAUUUACUUUGAGUCACCCCAAAUCAGUCAAGAAGACAACUGGCUUUUACACCAGUGCGGCCCUUUAGACCAAGUGGAGACCGACGGUGUCACAAAACCUCGAGUAUGUGAGUACACCGUGACACAAUAAAUCAUGGUGACAUUAAA